UGUUUGAAAGCAAAACCUCCUAGGAAACAGUCUGAGAAGCCAUGAAGCACAAGAAGCCUGAUGUAAGCAGCAACAAUAAAGCUGGAGUUUGUAAAUGAACCUUGUGACAGAGUGAGAUCUUAAAAUGCAAAUGAACCAGACACAAAGCAUAAAACACGGUGGCAGUGGUAAUUAAAUCCAAAACAGUAGGAGAGAACAUUCAGAGCUUCACGGCAGAGGGCAGAAUACUUCUGAGAUAGUCCAAUAUGAGGUUCAAGGGUGAAUGGUGUAAGAAUACACCUUUCUGACAGGACCAAAUGGAGAAGCACUUCCAUUUAGCCAGGUACACUUGGGAAGUCCCCCAGAGCUGGAAGAUGGAUCUGGCAAUAUCUGGGAGUAAAGAUCACUGGUGGAGUUCAGCGAAGGUCUUGGUCAGUUGAUCCACCAACGUGUUCUGCUUCCUUGGAAGAAUUGACUUGCUCCAAUUUAUGAGAAGCUCCAGGACGUCGAAUGUGGACAGGAUGGCGGAUACAGUGGAUAGCACCUGAGCCUCACACCAAUCUCUCAUCAACCAGUAGUCCAAGGACAGGAACACAUGAACUCCCGAUUGUUGUAGAUGUGCUGCCACCACUGCCAGGCACUUUGUGAACACCCGAGGAGCAGCUGAGAGACCAAAUGGGAGCACUGUGAACUGACAAUGGGAGUCAUUUGCCACAAAUCUGAGAAACUUCCGAAGGUUGUAUUGUAUUGCGACCUGGAAAUAAGCAUCCUUUAAAUUGAGGAGAAUGUACCAGUCCCACUAUUCAGGGAGGGAAUAAUCAAGGCUAGGCUAAUCAUGUGGAAUUUUAUUUUCUUCAGGAAUUUGUUCAACUCUCUUAGAUCUAAAAUAGACCUGAGACCUUCUUUUAUUUUGGGGAUAAGGAGUUAGUGAGAAUAGAAGCCUUUCCCCCAAGGCCCAGUGGGACUUCUUCUAUGGCUCCUGCCUGAAGAAGCAAUUGAACCUUUUGCAGAAGGAGGAUCUCAUGAGAGUGGUGGAGAAGAGGGGGGUGGGAAGGAGAGGUAGAAAUGAACUGAAUGAAGGGUAUGUGAUAUUGCACUCCAUGUUUUAUGAAAAUAGGCUUAUGAAUGUGAAUAUAAUGUAACUGGAAUAUGCUUUACGCAAAAGGUCUCUUGUAAGGUAUCAUUACAAAGCUUAUAAUUUACUGAGUGUGUUCAUCCUAUUUGUAUGCAUGUAUCAUCCUUGUAUCUGAAGCUAGAAAUAUGAAGUAUAACUCUGAGGUCCUAUUGUAACUAUGCAAAGUGUGGGCCAUUAAUGGUGGUUUAGAAUUUUGAUAGCUACCAUUGACUAGGACAAUUGGUUGUAGAUGGUUUAUUUACCUGCAAGCCUUUCUGUGUACGUGUGGGCCAGCCAGUGGGUAAUGAAAAAUGAGGUCUUACAGUGACAUGUGACCAUGUUACAUGAUACUGGAAUCCAUCUUAAAUCUGGUACUUUUCCAGUUAGACGGAGGGGUGGGGAACCAGAGAGACAAAAGAUUCUCGCCUUGUGCCAGAACAAAGGAGGUGGCCAGUCCUGAGAACACCCCUGCUUUCCACCUAAGAUGUCUGCUGGAACUAACAAGGACUCUACCAGGGAAAGGAUCGGGCCCAGACUAGGAAGGUGUCUAGUCUGUGAAAGAAGCUUAUUGGAACAUCUCUGAGGAUCUUGAGACUGGGCUGCAUUUACAUCCUCCAAACUGUCCUGAGAGCAGUUCUGGCAACUGGCUUGCCCUCAUCCAACAUUACUGCAAAUUUUAGAAUGUUCUCUCAGUAGAUGAAGUCAUAGUGCUCACGAGUCCCUGUUGGUAAGUGCCUGUUGGUUUGCAAUUCUGAGUUGCAGACUACCUGUAGAAUGAAGUUUGCAUCCAAACAAGUCCAGCCUCUUCAAAUUUUUGCCUUUUAGCAUCAAUGCUUGGUGUCAUCUCUCCCAUUCGUAGCAGCCACCACCACCAAGAAAUGGGGAUAGUGAAAGUACAAAUGCUCAUUCCCCUUAGAGGGGAUGUAGUACCUCCUUUCUGCUUGCUUUGCUGUGUGGGGUAAGGAGGAUCAUAGGCAUAAUUUGACUUCUAUAUUUGAGGAGGCAAGGGGCUUAAUAUCAAUCAGUCUAAUUUCUGGAUUUACCAAUUGCUAGUGGUAGUUAAAUUACAAUGUACUUGAAAUCACAAAUACAAUUUAUGUUCAUUGUGUAGUCACCCUUUUUAAAAUUUUAACUUAAUUAUUUGCCAUGUUUACUAGCUACCAGUUAAAAAUCAACAUUAACAUAAAAACAAAUUAUUGAAUAAACAGAACGAUGCACUGUCAUGUAACUAUGAAUCAUGUCUCCCUGGUUUUAGAGUUACAUAAACAUUGUCUUAAUAUAGAAAUACUGUAUUUAUCUUAAUGUAGACGCAAUUGUCUUUGCCUUCUGUUAGCUUUUCUUGGUUUUAGAUAUAGUAAAAUAAUGUGAUGGACCUAAUUUAAAAAAGAGUAAUAUUUUACUUAAAUUAAAACUUUUAAAGGUC